UACGAAGGGGGCUAGCGUUGUUCGGAAUCACUGGGCGUAAAGGGCGCGUAGGCGGCUUUAUAAGUCGGGGGUGAAAGCCUGUGGCUCAACCACAGAAUUGCCUUCGAUACUGUAGAGCUUGAGACCGGAAGAGGUAAGUGGAACUGCGAGUGUAGAGGUGAAAUUCGUAGAUAUUCGCAAGAACACCGGUGGCGAAGGCAGCUCGCUGGGACGGUACUGACGCUGAGGCGCGAAAGCGUGGGGAGCAAACAGG
rnacentral:rRNA from 1 species